rnacentral:rRNA from 1 species
AGUGAACGCUGGCGGUAGGCCUAACACAUGCAAGUCGAACGGCAGCACAGUAAGAGCUUGCUCUUACGGGUGGCGAGUGGCGGACGGGUGAGGAAUACAUCGGAAUCUACUUUUUCGUGGGGGAUAACGUAGGGAAACUUACGCUAAUACCGCAUACGACCUACGGGUGAAAGCAGGGGAUCUUCAGACCUUGCGCGAUUGAAUGAGCCGAUGUCGGAUUAGCUAGUUGGCGGGGUAAAGGCCCACCAAGGCGACGAUCCGUAGCUGGUCUGAGAGGAUGAUCAGCCACACUGGAACUGAGACACGGUCCAGACUCCUACGGGAGGCAGCAGUGGGGAAUAUUGGACAAUGGGCGCAAGCCUGAUCCAGCCAUACCGCGUGGGUGAAGAAGGCCUUCGGGUUGUAAAGCCCUUUUGUUGGGAAAGAAAAGCAGCAGGUUAAUACCCCGCUGUUCUGACGGUACCCAAAGAGUAAGCACCGGCUAACUUCGUG